AGAGCGAACGCUGGCGGCAGGCUUAACACAUGCAAGUCGAGCGGGCGUAGCAAUACGUCAGCGGCAGACGGGUGAGUAACGCGUGGGAACGUACCUUUUGGUUCGGAACAACACAGGGAAACUUGUGCUAAUACCGGAUAAGCCCUUACGGGGAAAGAUUUAUCGCCAAAAGAUCGGCCCGCGUCUGAUUAGCUAGUUGGUGAGGUAACGGCUCACCAAGGCGACGAUCAGUAGCUGGUCUGAGAGGAUGAUCAGCCACAUUGGGACUGAGACACGGCCCAAACUCCUACGGGAGGCAGCAGUGGGAAUAUUGGACAAUGGGCGCAAGCCUGAUCCAGCCAUGCCGCGUGAGUGAUGAAGGCCCUAGGGUUGUAAAGCUCUUUUGUGCGGGAAGAUAAUGACGGUACCGCAAGAAUAACGCCCGGCUAACUUCGUGCCAGCAGCCGC
rnacentral:rRNA from 1 species